CACCGAUGACAGCUGCUGAAGACUUUUCGUUCUAUCAAAAGGUGAUGCCUGGCUACUUCUUUUUUCUUGGAAUGCAGAAGGAUCACCGGGAUCAUUUUUUGCACUCACCGUAUCUCAUGAUCGAUGAAGAAGGACUUCCUUAUGGAGCUGCACUUCAUGCAUCAUUAGCUAUUAAUUAUCUUCAAAAAUAUCACCAAGACAGACCCAUGGAAGAAGGGAAAAAUCGUGAUGAAUUAUAACUGUUUUUAAUCAUUGUAAGCUUCCAGCCUUGUAUUGUAUAUUAAGUUAGAAUUUCCACUCGUAGAACGAUAAUCUUUUGCUGUUAUCACUUUCUUCACUGGACACGUGAGUUCAACGUGAAUAAAUAGCUUUCUUUUCUCUAGUACUCUGAAAUUGAUUACUUCCUCUUUUUAUAUCUGUCAAUUUUUACAGUUUUGACACAUAUUACCAACAAGAUUAAUGUUCUUUAGAGUUGGCAGAACUGUGCUGUGCAUUCUCAUACCACAUUUGGAGGGUAAGGAAUAGGCUGUACUUUGAGGGAAAGGAGACCCCGAAAGUUGUUUAAGCUCAUCAACUCGGGCAAUAGGUGCGUUUCAGCUUUAUGGAAGUUUUGAUUUAUCAAGAUUUAUCUUUUGCCCAGAUGCUACCGCAUAGGUUUGUUGGAUAUUUAAGAUGGAUAUGCUUCUUGGAUUCUUUCCCUGCAAAAAUUAUGUUGUCAUAUGCCAAUAGCAAAUGUAAUACCACCGGAGCUCGUGGAGCUACUCGAAUGCCAUGAAUAGAUUUUGCCACUAUUGCCUCUUCUGGACUUCAAUUAAUCAUAAUUGAAAAGGAAACAAAAGUUACACAACCCAUAACUAGACUAAUCCAAGAUGGAGGAAAGCCAAAUUAAGUAAGGGUGCUUUCCAUAAAAUGUCAUUCAACGCAAUCGUAAGUUUUAAACAUGUCAAGCUUUAAAGCCAUAUGUAUUUCCUACAACCCGCCCCUUAUUUUUCUUUUUUAUAAAGUGAAAGCAUUCAAACUCUACUAAAACAUUAUCUAUAAUGAGCCUAUUAUUAGGUACAAAAACUCUUUGAUUUUCAAUAAUAGACGGUAAAAUAUUUUUCAUUCUAUUUUCUAUUACUUUUGUGACUAGUUUGAAAAGGACAUUACAAAAACUAGUGGGUUGAUGCUUGCUGAUAUAUGUGGAAUUUUUGACCUAUGGAAUGAGAACAAUGACUAUGACAUUGAUAAAAACCUAGAUCUUUUUCGCUAUUAUAAAUCUAAAACACAAAAUUUGUACCCCUCCUGUGUGCCUGGGUCGGACACAUUUGAUUCAAAGCUUCUGCAACUUAAGGUAUGUAUAUUGACAAGAAAGAAACAUGCUAUGGUCCAUUGUAAUUCUGUUUCUAACAAGAGUUGAAGGAUCAUCACCCAUCAUGGUAGGUGAAGUUGAACUGAAGAGUUCUAUAAAAUAUGAGUUGAUCACCUCAGCUAUCUCCUCUUCCACAAAAUUUGAAUUUUUAAAUACUUUACACCAAACUCGUUCCAUUAUUAAACCUAAAUUCUAACUAGUGCCUAACAAUACUAUUAAAUACCUAAUCAUACCUCCAACACAUUAUAUUUAAUAUCUAACCAGUCAUCACUCUUCUCUUCAUUUCAUUCUCUCUCAAACCAAAAGAAACCAUGUCUUUCUGCAAAUGCUUCCAUUUUUUCAUCAUCAUUUUGCAAGUCUUUGCUGCAAUAGCCAUUUUCUCAUUAGCAGAUUCCUCCCUCACCCAAAACCAGCUCUUCACCAACUUCCUAGACACUGCCAAGAAGCCUGAGUUUUUUGAUUGGAUGGUCAAAAUCAGAAGGAAGAUACAUCAGUUUCCGGAAUUGCGGUACGAAGAAUUUGAGACCAGUAAAGUUAUAAGAACAGAAUUGGAUAAGUUGGGGAUCCCCUAUAAACACCCAGUUGCAGUCACUGGUGUUAUUGGCUUCAUAGGGACUGGAAAGUCACCUUUUGUUGCUAUAAGAGCUGAUAUGGAUGCUCUUCCCAUACAGGUAGGUUAGAUUCAUAAAUUGUAUAUACUUUUUUUUCUUGAUAUAUAUGCAAUAUGCUUGAAGCAGGGUUGACUUUUGAUUUCUGAAACUUUUAUGGGAUAACAAGAGCAUUGUUAUUUUUUCCUUUGCUCAAAUUUUAUUGACAUUUGACAAUGUAAAAACCCUAGGAAUUGGUGGAGUGGGAGCACAUGAGUCAAGUACCUGGAAAGAUGCAUGCAUGUGGUCAUGAUGCUCAUACUACCAUGCUUCUUGGUGCUGCAAAGAUUCUCAAACAGCAUGAACAAGAGAUAAAUGUGUGACUUUUAUACUGCCUUCUCUGUUUCCAUUUUCUUUCUAUUGUUCUGUAUACUGUUAUAUAUGUUCUGCUUUAUUUUUUAUUCGUUACUACUCUUCCGACAUGUGGUCACUCGCUCACUGGUCCUUACUGUGUGGGCAUGGUUUCUUACGUUUUUUCUCAUAAAACAAAAUAAAAAUUUGUUGCAUAAAUUCAAUUAUGUCAAAGCCAAGUAGUAUCUCUUCAGUUUCUGUCAAAGAAACAAAUUGCUGCCAAAUCAUUCAAUCAUGCCAACUUUUUUUAUAGUAAAUCACAAGCAUUCUAUCAUCUGUCAUACACAUCCUUAAUUAAUCUUCUUAGAUUUUCUUUUGACUAAAAUUUAGGGUAAGAGUAUGGUAUCCCAAUCCAAGAUAGGAACCGGACUUAAACAACACCUAGAGUAUACUUACAUUUACCACACCUCAAGUGGCCAAGUGGGGGCUUGAGACCUGUCACAUAUGAGACAUUGUCAUGCUUCACUCAACCAAUCCUUUGGGUUUACCUUUUUAUAGUUUAUGUUAGACCUAACUCUACUCCAGAAGUUAGUUAAAGUGAAGUUGCUCAACCCUUUAUCAGAGUACUUUGGUCAUAUCUCUAUUAAACAUGUAACAUCUCAACAAAUCUCCUCUUUCUAUUGUAAUACAAUCUAGAAGACACUAAAGAAGUUGCCCAGCUUAUCAUUCUACUAUACCAGGACAUUCAUCCAUGUCUGCCACAGUGCUACUUUUUCUCUCAAUUGCCUUAUUCUGCUCUCUUCACCCUAUCAUGUAUCCUUGAUAAAUUGGUUAUGUGCUGUCUAAACAGGGAACUGUUGUUCUUGUUUUCCAACCAGGAGAGGAAGGAGGUGCAGGGGCUAAGAAAAUUUUAGAAUCUGGAGCCUUGAAAAAUGUUUCUGCUAUCUUUGGAUUGCAUGUGUUACCUACUCUUCCAGUAGGUGAAGUGGCCUCUAGGUCUGGUCCUAUGAUGGCAGGAAAUGGUCGCUUUGAAGCAAUAAUAAAUGGAAAGGGAGGUCAUGCAGCUAUUCCUCAUACUUCUAUUGACCCGGUUUUGGCAGCUUCCAAUGUAGUUAUUAGCUUACAAUACCUUGUUUCUCGGGAGGCUGAUCCUUUGGACUCCCAGGUAAUUUUGGUUAAUUCUUCAUGUCCCCUUGUUUGCCAUGGUCACUCAUUUAAACUUAUUUUUGUAUGAUAUUCUGAACCCAUAACUAUGUAUGGAUAUCAGAAAGAACAAGUAAUAGGAAAAUAUUGGCAGAGCCUUAUGGAUAACAUUCAUCUGCUUCAUUCUGCCUAAAAUGACUUAUUAGCACUUUUUAACAGUAGAGGUAAUCUGAUACAGCCUUGUUUCUAAGAAUAUUACUACAUUCCAUUCAACAAACCAAGUGGUUAGCUGCCAGUGUUUUAAAUUGCGGUAGUGGUAGAGCAUCCAUGGUCCAUAUAGAGUGAGAACCAUUCUGUUAUUUGCAAGUCCAAACCUUUAUUAAUCCUUCUAAGUUUAUGGAUCACAAGGGAAAGGAUGGGAAAAAUGAGCUAAGAGUGGCGAGAAGCUUUUAGUAUACCAUCAGUGAAAAAGAUGAGAAAGAGAAAUCCAAUUACAAAACAAACUUUUACUGAUAACUGAGGAGUAUGGGAGCUAGACCCUUAGUGUGUGUGUGUGUGUGUGUGUGAACACUUACAUAUGUCAUAAUUAUUAUAUGUGAUAAUUCCUGAUUACUUAAAAACUUAAAGGCUUGUUUAUAACCAAAAUUCUCCUUGUCUUCCUUACAUUUUAUAGGUUGUGACGGUUGCAAAGUUUCAAGGAGGUGGUGCACUCAAUGUUAUUCCAGAUUAUGUCAUAAUUGGUGGAACCUUCAGAUCUUUUUCCACAGAAAGCUUGGAGUACCUGAGACAGCGCGUUGAGCAGGUAUGUCAUGGAGAGGAAUAGAUUCCUUCUACAUGCAUAAACUGAAAUUAAUGGUCUUUUCUAUAAUAUACACCAUCACCUUGCAAUAAUCUGUCCUUUUGUUCUCUAAUUUAUUUUGGUUGUUAAACCUGAUGGCUUGGUUAUGAUUGUGUUAAGCACUAUAGAGGAUGUGACAUCUAGAUUAAUUGGUUAUCUUUGAUAGGAUCAACUACAAGCUUCAUAUAGGGGUAGUCAAAGAAAACUUUGAGUGCCGCACUAAUAUCAUGUUUUUGUAUCUGAUUACUCUCAUGCAAAAAAUCUGGGAAUUUAUAACUGAGAGUAGAAGCAUAGCAUACACAAGCUACCGGAACUAUAUUCUGAGGCAAGGGCAGAACCAGAAAAAGUUGGAAGGGGAGGAAAUUUAACACGAUAAUGAUGAAUUAAAAGAGGCCACAGAAAAUAUUUUAGGGAGACAAAUAACGUUUGAAGACUAUUAAAUGAUUUCGUUCUCUUGGUAGGGGCUAAGGAUGGUUCAUUUACGCAGGUUAUCGUUGGACAAGCUGCUGUGCAGAGGUGCAAUGCAACUGUCAACUUCCUUGAUGAAGCGAGUCCUUCCUAUCCUCCAACUAUAAAUGAUGGUGGUUUGCACGAGCAGUUUCGUGAUGUUGCAGAGAAUUUGCUUGGCGCCAAUAAAGUCCACUUUGACAAGCCACCGGUCACGGCUUCUGAAGACUUUUCAUUCUAUCAAAAGGUGAUACCUGGCUACUUCUUUUUUCUUGGAAUGCAGAAGGCCUCAAAUGAUCACCGGGCUCACUUUGUGCACUCACCCUAUCUCGUGAUCAAUGAAGAAGGACUUCCUUAUGGGGCCGCACUUCACGCAUCACUAGCUGUUAAUUAUCUUGAAAAAUAUCUGCAAGAUGGACCCAUGGCGGAAGGGAAAUAUCGCGAUGAAUUAUAGAUGUUAUUAAUCAUUACAAACUUCCAGCCUAAGUUAGAAUUUCCACUUGUAUGAGUAUGAUAAUCUCUUGCUGUAAUCUUUCUUUUAUAAAAUAUUUUGAUAAUGUGAAUCACUUACUUAACUGGUUACUUCUCACUAACUAUAAUCUAUUUGUGCUGUUUAAUUUUCCGAAGCUCAUAUCAUAGAAAAAUGUUACUUUUUUUAUGAAUGUAUAAAGUAGACUCC
rnacentral:lncRNA from 1 species